GCAGUGGGGAAUAUUGGACAAUGGGCGAAAGCCUGAUCCAGCAAUGCCGCGUGAGUGAUGAAGGCCUUAGGGUUGUAAAGCUCUUUUACCCGGGAAGAUAAUGACUGUACCGGGAGAAUAAGCCCCGGCUAACUCCGUGCCAGCAGCCGCGGUAAUACGGAGGGGGCUAGCGUUGUUCGGAAUUACUGGGCGUAAAGCGUACGUAGGCGGUUUUGUAAGUUAGAGGUGAAAGCCCGGAGCUCAACUUCGGAAUUGCCUUUAAGACUGCAUCACUUGAACGUCGGAGAGGUGAGUGGAAUUCCGAGUGUAGAGGUGAAAUUCGUAGAUAUUCGGAAGAACACCAGUGGCGAAGGCGGCUCACUGGACGACUGUUGACGCUGAGGUACGAAAGCGUGGGGAGCAAACAGGAUUAGA
rnacentral:rRNA from 1 species